rnacentral:rRNA from 1 species
CACGUAGGGCGCGAGCGUUGUCCGGAAUUAUUGGGCGUAAAGGGCUCGUAGGCGGUUUGUCGCGUCGGGAGUGAAAACUCAGGGCUUAACCCUGAGCCUGCUUCCGAUACGGGCAGACUAGAGGUAUGCAGGGGAGAACGGAAUUCCUGGUGUAGCGGUGAAAUGCGCAGAUAUCAGGAGGAACACCGGUGGCGAAGGCGGUUCUCUGGGCAUUACCUGACGCUGAGGAGCGAAAGCGUGGGUAGCAAACAGG